rnacentral:rRNA from 1 species
AACGCCGCGUGAGCGAUGAAGGCCUUCGGGUCGUAAAGCUCUGUUGUUAGAGAAGAACAAGUACGAGAGUAACUGCUCGUACCUUGACGGUACCUAACCAGAAAGCCACGGCUAACUACGUGCCAGCAGCCGCGGUAAUACGUAGGUGGCAAGCGUUAUCCGGAAUUAUUGGGCGUAAAGCGCGCGCAGGCGGUCUCUUAAGUCUGAUGUGAAAGCCCACGGCUCAACCGUGGAGGGUCAUUGGAAACUGGGAGACUUGAGUGCAGGAGAGAAAAGUGGAAUUCCACGUGUAGCGGUGAAAUGCGUAGAGAUGUGGAGGAACACCAGUGGCGAAGGCGGCUUUUUGGCCUGUAACUGACGCUGAGGCGCGAAAGCGUGGGGAGCAAACAGGAUUAGAUACCCUGGUAGUCCACGCCGUAAACGAUGAGUGCUAGGUGUUGGGGGGUUCCACCCUCAGUGCUGAAGUUAACACAUUAAGCACUCCGCCUGGGGAGUACGACCGCAAGGUUG